rnacentral:lncRNA from 1 species
GAGAACCUUGUGUUAGUGGAGAACUUCCUCUGAGUGUAACUAGGAUGUAAUCAAAAUCUUUGAAUGACACAGCUAAAGCUUCUGAUGUUUCUCAUUGUGUGUCUGUUGCUUUUGAUUUCACAUUUUUAUAACUUUCUAACCCUUUCAAUAUUUUUACUCUUUGUUUUUUGAGGCUAUUUUUUGGUGGGUUUUUUUCUUUGUUUUAGAUCUAAAGACCUCACUAACAUCAGGUCUGAGAACAAAGAGCCUGUGGUGUCCUUGUUUGAUAUUUUCUUACUUACCCAAGGAGACAGGAGCAUCAAUCCUGUUAAGAGAUAUUCCUCUCCAUGUUAUGGUUCUUCCAAAUGUGUUUAGUAGCUAUACUGCAAAACUCUCCCCUCUCCUUGCACUAAUGUGGAAACAUCCCAAGCUUUGGCAUUGUUCCUUGCUGGCUCAGAGAGAAAGCAGAGGCAUUAUUCUCCUACAGAUAAAAAUUGAUUUAUAUAUUAGGGUUAAUAGCAAACCUUAUCAUCAGGAAAAACUUAUCAGCUUACAUUUCAAGUAAGUUAUUCAAAAAUAUUAACAGGCUCUCUAAGCUACUGCUGCCCUCUGCACUGAGGACUGACACAGCAGGACUGGGAUGAGACACAGUUGCCUUUCAGUCUUUCAGUCCAGAUCAAUUACCUUAUUGAGAAGCCACCAGCAAGAGUCCUGGGUUGUACAUCAAACUUCAACGGCAUAUGAAACAACCCUCUGGAAAAGAGACCGCCUGGAUAAGACCAGGACAUCAUCCUUUGCUAGGUACAAUGUGUUUAUAAUUUUUGGAAAUAAAGCGAAUCUGAAAUAUGAGAUAUAUAUGUUGUGCACCAAAAAAAAAAUAACAUCUAUAAAUACUCUUUGUAAAAAAAAACAGCUGCCAAUAUCCCCACCCUUUUCUGCUAUGGGUUCACGGUGAAUGACACGGUCAGUUUUAUCAAUAAAGCAUGUCUCAUGUAAAAAGAUAUUAAACCA